AUCCAGGUCUUAAGUAUCGUAGCCAAUGAGGUUAAUCCGAGGCGCGAUUAUUGCUAAUUGUAAACUUCCCAAAAGUGUUUGUAAUUCUUCUUCCUGUUUUAUUGACCAGCUCUGCCAUGCACUAGCUUCUCGUUAAACCCAAACCUACUUGCACUAACUAAUAUAUCUGUUUUUGCACAGUAUUUUUAGAACUCCCGUUGUAUGUUGGG
rnacentral:snRNA from 1 species